UACGGAGUGUGCGAGCGUUGUUCGGAAUCACUGGGCGUAAAGAGCACGUAGGCGGGUUCGUAAGUCAAUUGUGAAAGCCCGGGGCUUAACCUCGGAAUUGCAGUUGAAACUGCGGAUCUUGAAUGCCCGAGAGGGUGAGGGAAUUCCUGGUGUAGAAGUGAAAUUCGUAGAUAUCAGGAGGAACACCUGAGGCGAAGGCGCUUACCUGGCGGUGCAUUGACGCUGAGGUGCGAAAGCGUGGGGAGCAAACAGG
rnacentral:misc_RNA from 1 species